GGAAGGGUCGCAUAGUUUGGCCUAGUGCGUUCGCUUGGAAAGCGAAUAUCUCUGCAAGGAGAUCGCGGGUUCGAAUCCCGCCCCUUCCG
rnacentral:tRNA from 1 species